CUGGGCGCCUCUGGAACAACACCAGAUGUCACUUUUCCACCCACCUGCCUCUGGGAGGGAGGAGCCGAGAAGCAGAGGACAGAAGCUCCCGGGCGGGGGUUAGGAGGAACCGAGAGAGGACUUGGCUGCCAGGAGAAGGCAAUUUCCUCGUUCUUGGAGAUGUUGUUGAGGAAGAGCAGGCGGCUGCACUUGCUCUGCACAGGACUCAGGCUCCCAGCCUUGGGGCUGAUGGAGAAGAGGCAAUUGUCCUGCACGCGCAUCUGGUGGAGCUCAGUGGAAUUCAACUCUGCUUGCUCUGCCCAGAGCUCCACGUCAAUCCGCUGGUCACUUGGAAGGAGGAAGGCCCUGGGAGAGGGGUGCAAAGCCAUACAAAGAAACUGGUCAGGCAGAACAGAGAGGCAGGGGCUCUGAGACCCUGAUGGGCAGGUGGAGGCUUCUUCCAUGACUCCCGCACUUCAUGCACCCAUUUGGCAAACUGUCCCAUGUGUGCCUGAGCAAAUGUGGCUGUUGUGGAUUCUCGUUUCAUAAUGGCCCCAAAACCCAGGAACAGACUCUGGGCCACGGCGACUCAAGAAGUGAAGAGUGGGGCUCCCACUGUGGAUGCCAGGAGUCAAGGUGUUGCUUGAAUAUGGGGGCCACUUUGAGCUGGCCAUGAACCCUUCUGUGACAAAGCUCUUGGGAAAGGGCCAUUUGGGACACCUAGGAAGGCUGGCAGCACCAACCAGCAGCCCCAGGGAGUGGGGUGUCCAGGCCAACUUGGGCACAGGGUGGAGAACAGAUGCCCCAGCAGGGCUGGCACUCUUGAAACAGAAGCAAGGCUGUGCACAGAGUUAAUGCCCCUGACAUGCCUAGGACUGCGGUAAAGUAGAUAAUGCACCUUAAGUAGCCGACAAAACUAGUGACAAAGGGUCCUGAGGUCACAAUCUGAAAGGAGAACCCAUUUCACUCUCGGAGAUGGCACAGAACUGGUUCCAGCUGCAAACCGGGUGGAGGAUACGAUAGGGAGCAUCCAGAAAAGGAAAAGAAAGUGCCCAACACACACCUGAGAGAAAGCGCACAACGCACACCUGAGAGAAAGCACGCAACGCGCACCUGAGAGAAAGCACGCAACACACACCUGAGAGAAAGCACGCAACACACACCUGAAAGUGCGCAACACACACCCGAAGAGAAUGCGCGCAACAAACACCUGAGAGGAAGUGUGCAACGCAUACCUGAGAGCACGCAACACACACCUGAGGAGAAUGCAUGCAACACACACCUGAGAGGAAGCACGCAACACACACCUGAGGAGAAUGCAUGCAACACACACCUGAGAGAAAGCGCACAAAAGCAACCUGAGAGAAAAUGCACAACACACACCCGAGGAGAAUGCGCACAACACACACCUGAGAGGAAGCGUGCAACACACACCUGAGGAGAAUGCACGCAACACACACCUGAGGAGAAUGCGUGCAACACACACCUGAGGAGAACGCGUGCAACACACACCUGAGAGAAAGCACACAACACACACCUGAGGAGAAUGCACACAACACACACUUGAGAGGAAGUGCACAACACACACCUGAGGAGAAUGUGCGCAACACACACCUAAGGAGAACGCGUGCAACACACACCUGAGGAGAAUGCACGCAGCACACACCUGACGGGAAGUGUGCAACACGCACCUGAAAGAAGGCACGCAACACACACCUGAGAGAAAGCACACAACGCACACCUGAGAGAAAGCGUGCAACACGGGCCUGGAAGCCUCAGUAGGAGUCAGGGAGGCCUAAGUCCAAACCCUCAGAAGGAACCAGUCUUAACUUUUUUCACAUCUGAAGCAUGAAGAAUAGUAAUAUUCAACACUGGAAGAAGUCCAAACUGUCUGAAGAAGGAUUCAAAGGCCCUGUAUGUCCUGGCCCCUGCCCGCCUCCUCAGCCUCUUCUGAGACUCUCCACCCGCUGCUCCAGCCACGCGGUGUACACACCAGGCCCUCUGUCUGGAAGGCGCUUCACAACCUUUCUGCCUUUUCCCGCGAGGCUGUAGGUCUAGCUUAGUUGUAGCUUUCUCCAGGAAGCCCUUCUGAAAUGCUGCACACACCUCCUUCACAGCACAUAUGACCCCGCAACAGGAGGCUAGUCUGCAGCGCCUCGAGGGAAGAGACUGGGCCCAUCCACAUUUCUAUCCUGAAGACCAGCCCAGAGCCAGCAUCUAGGAAGCACCCAGUAAAGGUGUGGCCAAUGAAUUAAAGACUGGAUGAAUGAACAAAUGAUGUUAACCAGCAUAUUUGACAUCUGAAAAGAAUCUCCCCUUAAAUGCAAGACCCUACGAAGGCCAGGGCCAGGUAAAGCAGAGGCGCGAAGGGGAGAAGGCGUGGAGGGAGUGGGGCAGCUGCAUGGUUCCCUGCUUCCCCUGGAGCUCCC
rnacentral:lncRNA from 1 species